GGCUCUCAAGUUUUGAACUAAGCUUAGAGUGAGAUUUCCUUGGGGGGGGGGCGGUUGAAGAGUGAUUGAAGAUAAUUAUUUGUAUAAUAAUCUCUUAAAUACAACGGAGUAUGAGGGCCACAUUAAAAAAAAACGUUUUUAAAUCUUCGAGAAUAAAGUUAUCAUUUAGGAGAAUAAAGUCAUUAAUAUCUAAAUAUCUAAGAAUAAAGUCGUAAAGUUACCUGUUGUGGAAGAGAGUUGUUAAAAUCAGCACUGUGGAGCAUUUAGAUGAAUUGUUCUUUAGUAUAGGUUUCACAAACAUGGAGAUACUCAAUCCUUUGGUACAUGCGCGUUACACUGUCAUGAGUAUCAGAACUUUAAAAAGAAUAUAUGAGAAAUGCUCCUUUGUGGAGGGGGAAAUGGCUGUACAGAGGCUAAAUUUAUCAAUACAGCUGUUAAUAGCAAUAGCAUAGGGCUUUAGUUUAUCAUUUGUGUUUAUAUGCCAUGAGGUGUUGAGGUCUCUGCAUGCGUAGGUUACUGACUUACUGUAAUCAUCGGGUCUGUCUCGUCCUUAUAAAAACCUGCUCUAUUUCGCCGAGUGUCUGUCAAAAUCAUAUCAAAAUCUACCCGGAUACAGCAAUGCUGCUUUUUGAUUAGCUGUUCAGUAGAUAUACUUUACUUGAUUGGCUUGUGCGUGGCACGCAGCGUCAACUCUCGGAGAAACUCACUUGAUUCCUACCUGUUCUAUAGUUAAAGAGGUGCAACUUGGGGGACGUCACCAUAUUUAUUUAAAUGCGUGAGAAAUACAAUGUGUGGCGUGUGAGCGUGUGAACGGGUGGGAAUGCGUGUGUCACACGCUGAAUGCGUGAGACUUGAGAGCCCUGUUAAACCAAAGCAGUUAAAAUGCAAAUGCAGCUUAUCUGCAGCUUAGCAUGAUGUAGGUUGUGAUUGUAAAGGUAAACUCUGGCAUCCCAGCAGGUUGUCUUGGCCCAGAAACAGCCUGGCACAAAAGAAAACCUCAGAUGAAACAGAAACUGUGGAUAUUGUGUGUAUUGAGGUUUGCCUGGAUCAAACACCAUUUUGUCUGAGUUAGGGAGCUUUGAAGAAGGAUUUUGUCAAGUUUGGAUGAAGCCAAAGUAGCUGUGUCUUUCCAGUUUUUGUGCUAAGCCUAACUAGACUAACUAGCAGCUGACUUGGGCUUUAUAUUGACAUGGCAUGUGUGGUAUAAAUCUUCUCAGCUAAAUGCCAAGAGAAAAAAUAGUAAAAGUAGGUCCCGUGAUGUUUACUAUCUCUGUAUCUCAUCAGCUUGUGCAAGGAUCACUUCACUUUCAGUAAGGGACUAAGGGGAUAUUAUCAGUAGACAAGGCUUUUCAUCACUGUAAAACUUAGUUCAUAAAGGCCCCUGUAACACCCCCUGAUAAAACACUGAGCAAUGAUCUCUGGUGUCAGACUCAGUACGUUGACAUCUGUGUUUCUAUUUAUGUGCCUGGUAAUCCUCCAUUGUCUUUGUGUCUCCAGGCUUUUUGACAUGCAAAUGACCAGCAACUUGUCUUCAUCUGAAUCCCCCCUGCUCAUCAUAAAGACUGUGGUGAGGCCUCAUCCACCCUCACUGUGAAAUCCUCAUUAAUGAAGUGGGGCAUAUGCCACACUGUUGGCCCCUUCAGCUGAAGUCGGAUCCCAGCGGCUGGUUUAUAUCAUCCAUCACUGCCAUGUUUCGACUCUGUAAAGAUUCCCAUGCUACUUUCAAACCUAUUUAAAGUUGUAUCAUGUAAGGAAGCAUCCAAGUCCUCAACGGCUAAUACAUAUUAAAAAAAACAACUUAAAACUCCACUUAAAAGUGUGUUCUUUGUUCUUACCUAUUGAAGGAAAGUACAGUUAAGAAAUCUGCAGCUAUGACUUGGAAAGAAUCCCUCUUGCCACUCAAGCACAUCCUGGUAGGCAGAUACACAUGGAGACACAACCAGGUCCAGAGAAACUUGAGUGCAAGAGGGCAUCCAUCAACACCCAGCCCUCCAACAACCAGGACAUGCACCUGCACCCACCAGCAUUUGUCUGCGAGGUGGACAAGAUGAGGACUAGGCCCUCAAUCCUUGAUCUGGGCCCGAUGAAUAUCGUCAGGGACUGGCAGCUGCAAGUCGGCUUGAAUCAGAAGCUCAUUUUUCCCUCUGAGAUUGCAGCGACCACCUUGCAACCAGACCUUGUCCUCUUGUCUAAUUCCUGCUAGCUUGCUUACAUCAUUGAGCUGAUGGUGCCGUGGGAGGAUGCCAUCAAGGAAGCCUUUGAGCAUAACAAGCUGCAGUACUCCAACUAAGCAGCUGAGGCAGAGGACAGAGGUAGGAAGAUCAAGGUGCGCCCGGUGGAGGUGGGGUACAGGGGUUUUGUAGCCAGAAGGGAGGUUGGAGUUGGGGAACAGGCCAUCAAAGAACUGGCCAACACAGCUGAAAGGACCAGUUGCUGGCUGUGAAGAGUGACACCACCUGGGCUGCUAAGGUACGGUGACCAGACGUCCUCAAUUUCCAGGGACUGUCCCCAUAUUGGAUGACCUGUCCCCAGCUAAAGCUGUCCCCGGAAACAUCCCUGAUUUAAGCUUUUCAUGAAUGUGAACAAAAAUGUUGGGUGUAGACUAGAACAACGGUUGUCACAGUAGCUGAGUAGGUAGGAAGCACGAGUAAGCAUGUUGUGUGCAUUCCCAAACAAAGUUUUCAUGGGGGGUUAUUACGGGGAUGUGCAGUGCUAAUAAGUAAUACUGAGAUGUUGUCUGUGAUCAUGCAUGUCUAUGUCUAUGUCUAUGUCACCCCCAAUCCCCGCUCUGGAUGUCCCCUGAUUCCACUGCAGAAAUCUGGUCAACUUAUGCUAAGGUGAGCAGCUAACUGCGAGACAUACACCUGUGAAUACAAGUACAACAUAGGCAUGCAACCUGUUGAAAUGUUUAACUGCAAAACAUGUAGUCGUGUUAUGAUUGGCUGGUAGGUUGGGAAAAAAGAAAGAAAUAAUGAGGUUUAUCUUCUUCAGCCUUGUUGUGUAACUGUUUGGUAAAGAGUUGGACAGUUCUGUUUAUUUAUCUGUAUCUUUAGUCAAACAUUUGUAAAAUAGACCCGUUGAGUUGAAGCUGAGGUCACUACAUUCAGAACUUUUCUCUCUGUUACUCAGUACUCUUGGAGAAACAGUGCUGGCACGUCGAGUCUGUCGAUGGUGGCCGGCAUAGGUGACAACUCGACAGACACAGAGGAAGAUGCCAGAUGGACUCCAGGCCUGAGGGCCCUGAUGGGCACAGAUGGGUGGGUGGGUGGCACCCACACAGGCAGAACAGGCGGCUGUGCCAGCACCAACACUAUUGAAGAGAGAGAGAUCGCACCAUCACUAGUGAUACUACAUCUCACACUUCUUCUCUUUAUGUGUGUGUCCAUCCAUGAAAAUGACCCUUUGAAUAAGGACAUGUGGGCAUUUGACUGUGAGAGUUUGCUUUUCAGCGCAUCUAUUCUAGACGUCUCUGUGUUGUCCAUGCUCUCAUACCCCUUUAUUAAUACUGGUAAUAACUAUUUCAUCCUGUGGGAAACUGGAUUCCUGCUAUUCUUACAUAAAACCAACGAAAUCAAUGCAUCACCGCCUUGACUACCGUUGUCACAGGUGAAUCAACUCAGUCAACAGGAUUGGUAGACCAUGGAGUAAUCCUAAGAUAGUAAAACUGAACUAACUUUUAAGGGUUCAAGAAAACAUUUUGGCCUUUUAACUGAUGGAGAGGGUCAAUCAUUUUUCAUCAGUACGCUCUGUGAGUGUGUAAUAGUAUUACAUCUGGUCCUGGGGGUGUGAUGAAUCACUCAGCUUACACGACCAGUAAGACUGGGUUCACCAGGACAGGAACAGAUUUGAUCACUUAUUUUGAAGACAGCUACAAUGAUCGAAUGUAAGUGAUUUUUCACAAUUCAAUUGUUAUAGGAUUGAACACUCAUUUCGACAUUCCUUGAUGCCAGUAAGUCCAGGUGUUGUACAGACAUGAAGAAUAGAAGAGAUUAAACCUACGUGACCCCAAUGUCAACAUCAGUUUAUACUGUGAGUUCUUUGUGUCGAAUUCAUGUACUCGAGUUAUAAAUGCUGUGUUUGUUGGAGGGCCGAAGGGUUGCAGGAUGACUGACUUGAGGGCUCCUUCUCUCUGUUACCCAGCCACCUAAGGGACUUUCCACUGGUCUGGCUCUGUGUUCAUUAAAACCUGUGCAGCUGCCAGAGAGGAGUACCUGGCCGCCUGACUGGUGGGAACCUGCUGCCGUCACCGAGUACUUUAAAGGAACUCAUUGUUCCAGGUGGACAGAACAUGCUGUAUAAAUAAGGACUCGUUGUUUUAGGAGAUGUGAGAAGAAACACAUGCAGACAAGCUAAACACACACACACAGUUGUGUGAAGACAUGAGACAUACACACAAGCGCCCAAAAAGAUCCCCGAGAUUGAAUCGAAACAGAACCACAAAGGCUCAAUCUGUGCCGCGCUGUGCUGCUGUUGCCAGGCUCCCGGAACAACAUCAACAACUGCAGAUCCCAGCAGGUGAACUGAGGUGACUUCAACAGCUUAAUAUUCCCUAGACAGAGCUAUUUGUCCAUUACGUCUAAUGUGAGCACGCGUGUGAGACAGAAACGUGGUCAGGGAGAGAGAUGGGAAAAACAAAACGUGAGAGGAAAGUGAGAAGAAGCGAGGGACUUACAAGUGGGAGUUAGUACAGUGUGUGUCAAGAGAGGAAGAGAAAGAGAGUUUGGGACUGUAGUUAUUACAGUCUUUUAACAAGUGUGUAAUUUGAUCAAAGGAGCCGUUGACCUCAUGUUCAGUUUUGCCCUGCGGCUGUAAUGUGUUUCUCCAGCAUGAUGAGAGGAGCCCUUUCUGCUGAUGAAACAGGACACUAUUUUGGGGAAAUAUCUGUCCUAAAGAAACAUUUCUGGUUUGAUGGCAGCGAGAUGCUGCAUCAUGUUGCUGUAAACAGACAAUCUGUGAAUCCAGGUACUGUGUUUUACCGAUAUGUUUUAUUAAGAUACUGUAUGUAUUUCUAACAGGAAAAACAAAACAAAAAUGUUCGAUAUAUCAGAACAUUAAGAUGACUUUUAUUUGCUCUCAGGAUACAAGCAAUACAAUGCUCUCAAAAGAUGCCUAUUUGAAAGCAUCUUCAAGCCUUUGAAGCUGACCUGGAUUUGUAAGUGGCAGACCUACAGAGCAAGUGAUGAAAACAAGUUAUAAAAAAAUGUUGGUGGUAUUUCUUGGAAUAUUUGGUGUGAAUGUCCUCAGUGUUGUUGGUGUCGGUGAUGAAAGUAGUCAACUGAUUCCAAAAUAGUUGCUAAGAAAAGCUUUUUGUUUUUACACUCUACCCUCAGGAAGUUCAGCUAUGGUCAGAGCUGUCCUUGUCCCAGUUCAAGAGCAAAAAUUUACAUUUCACAUUAUGAACAUGAGCGUGCCCAGCUCCACUGCGGCAGGUGGAAUCAUGUCCUCUUUAAGCCUGUUACUACAGUCUAUGGUCGUCUCCUGGUUUCACGUACACAUUAAAUCAGUUGCCAAACUUCAUUAGCAAGAGGCUAAUGGGAUGUAUGUGAAAUAAUAAAAACACUGUUUGUACGAUAGAUAAGAUUGUCUUUUUUGUCCCUUUUUUUCUCUCAGAGUUUUGUUUUUAAAAGUCCAGCUUCCUAACAACACAUCCAGGUGUGCAAACAUCGGGGCAUGCUCAAAACACUCGGACCAGUUUCAGUCAUGUUGAAGCCGUAUACAUGACAGAGAAAGUCAAUCUCUAAUUGCAUUUUCCAGGUAUGUUAGUUCAACUAUGAGAGGUUUGAUUGAGUGCAAUUUCAGUCAGACCAAUGGGUUUACUUUUUUCGAGCUAAGGCAACAAAUCGUUAUUGUGGAAGAACAUAUGAACUCCUUAAUAUUCACGUAUAAUGGGAUGUAUUGUAAACAAGGAGCCCUGGCCUACAUUGCAUUUGCUUUCUACAUAACUGUACUCUAUGGGUUGAAAACAUCAGGGUCACAGAAAAACAGCAUCCUUAUCCUUAUUCUCUGCACCCAUGAGAUGUUUUUGCUGUUGGAAACAAAGUAAACAGAGACCAGGAAUUAAAGCAGCAGUUCCUCUUGAUUUCAUACACCACUGAUGGUUGACAUGAUGGGUCUAGAAUAACAACAAAACUUUUUAUCUGUGUUUAUGUGAAAGUAAACAACUUUGAGAACACCUGCAACAACUGAAGGCAUGUUUUACCCAGUACUGAGAACUCUGGAGACGAUGAAAAGAGCCAACUAAUCCCUUUUGCUCCCAUCAUGCCGAUCAGGGUUGUGUUAGUAUGUAGCUCGUGUGGAUGCAGAUGAAGUACUUGAUCAGUCAAAACAGCAAAGACUAAAGAGCUGCUUGAUUCAGAAAACAAGGACACCACCAUUCAAUUACAAAGUCAAACCACUAAGGUUGCUCUUUGUGAAGUCCUGCUGUAUACGAUCAGGUUCUGUUCGUCAAUUUGCCACCAAAUACAUAGAAGAUUUUUUCAUUAGCUCCAGCUGGGCUACUUCGAGCAAUAGUCGGUUAUAGUUAGCACAAGUUAGCAUGUCAGUGUGGGGAGAUGGUGACCACGAUAAACUUUAUAUUCCCAUAAGUUCUUAACAUAGACCGUAUAUAGAAUGGACGCCGUCUGUCUCCUCGCUGGGUGAAGCCACCCCAGAACAGCACCCUCGGGUGACGGGCUGCAGUAUAGAUCACAAAUCCCACCUUCUCCAGCAAUCCUCAUGGAGCUGUGGACAAACUUCAGAAAUUUAUUACACAGAAUAUACAUAUUUCUCCCCCUUACUUGUGAUGUUGACAUGUAGUUAUUGUAAGACUGGUUUGUGCUCAAGUCCUCUUUUUUCUGUACAGCUCCAUUUUUAAAAGUUAUUAGGGGGUUCAUGUUUUCUAUGAUUGACACUUAAUACAGUCUAUGAACGUACGAAGAUUGCAUAGCUCACCCAGGGAAUAUGCUGUUUGAGCAUCAUUAUAGCGAAUUUCGGUGACUCUCCCCCGCCAAAUGCGCGCAAUGCUACUGCGCAAGUGGUGGAGUUCGUACGACGCUACAGCGCAAUGUUGGUUUCAGGAAGUGGAGAAAAAUCGCGGAAAUACUGAGAGCUUUUCAGCUGUAAAUCCGUAUACUGGCAAAAGGCGGAACCAAGGUGUCCAUAGUAUAUACAGUCCAUGGUUCUUACCUGCUAAACGUUAACGUAAUAGCAUGCUGAAGUUAGCAUUUAGCUCGGACCUAAGCUAUAACCAUAAGCACACUUAGCUUUUGUUUCUUGUUAUUUUUGUUAUUUUCACCCAAAGAGAUCCAUCCGCUAAUAUUACAACCAGAGAAACUCAUUCAAAGUGCAGACAUCCCCUCACUCAGCUGGUGUAACUCAGUUUUCUCACAGUGAUACUGAUGUGUUGUCCUAGUAAGAAGGCACUCAGACCCAGUGGUUAACACUGAGGACACACAGCAAGAUGUUUCCAUUCCCUUGGCUCUGUUGAUUCUGGGAGAAGUUUUCACCUUCUCAUCUGAUGCUCAGGUUUCUUUCCCACAAUCCGAAGACAUCCGUGUCAAGCACAGCAGAUUAGAGAGUGAGCCGGGCGAUGAAUGAUGCCUAGAUAGAAGUAUUUCCUUUCGGCACAAUGCAUAGUGGGACAGGCUCCAACCCCCUGUGCCCUCAUAAUAAACAGGAGGAGGGAGUGAAUGACUGGAUGUUCCCUUGGUUGAGAGCACGGCAGGACUACCUGUCAGUCAGGUUCACUUACAGGACCUUGGCUCUCAAGCGUUGCCUUCAACUCAAGACAAACAGGGCCCCUGAAGAUAUCAAAAAUUCAUUGGGGCAGAUAGCACAGAUCUUGUGCACAGAGUCUGUAGGGGUUUAAAAAUCGGAUGAGUGGCUGCAUUUUUUUCACUGACACGUCUGCACUGAGGUGUGAGUGUGAGUCCAUGGUGUCAACUGUACGCUUUCGUAGACCAGGGCGCUGAGGACGAGCAAGGGCUUCAAGAUUCAGGGGAAACCCAGAGCGAUUUCUUCAGGCCUUUUUAAAGUUGUUCUGACCACGUUUUUAAGAUUGUUUUGCAUGGUAUAAAAUGUGCUGAGAACAAAGUACCAAGUUUUACAUUAAAAUGCUUGAAAAAGCUCCUGUAUGCCAACUGGCCAGCACUAGAAAGCAGACAAAGAAUACAUAGGAAGUGUGAACAUUGAGCUCCAUCAAAUUUCCAUCUGCAGGCUGUCGGUUGUGAAAAUGUUCAGUGCAUACAGAAAAGAUGUCAUUCACAGUUUGAGGCCGUUCCUGUCUCACGUUUGAUGGUUUUUAUACACAUCAGACUUGUUUGCACUGCCUCUGCUGUAAAAUUGUUGAAAUUCUUCAUUAGGAUUAACUCUUUUAGAGGUUUUAUCUCAUUCUUGAGGGAAUAUCUAACAUCUCUGUGAGCAAAUGCAUGAUCAGCAGUGCCUCUCAAAGUCUCCUGUAACUGUGUCUUAAUGAGACGGUAUGUUACUGCACAGACAGUCGAACACACGCCUGUCCUUGCUCUAAACUGCAUAAAACAGUGUCAAAAUCAAUAUAACAGUCUCUGUCAAAUGAGUUUAAGUCCCCACCGUCUAUGUCCUAAUACAGUCAGUCUGAGUCAUCAGCACUGAGGUCCAAGUCUAGUUAUGAGUCCCAAAAUAUGAACUCGAGUUGGACUUGAGUCAGAGCUCUGUACCCAAGUACUACACUGAGGGUGAGGUCAUUGCUGGCCUCAACAUCAACCACAGCAGUUCAGCACUUGUUGUAUUUAUGCAAUCAGUCGAAGAUGAUUUCAAUCCCACCCAUGUUAAAUAAACCACCAAAGGUCAUGAAACCAUUUAACACUGAACAAAUAAGAACCUACUGUUCUUACCUCCUCUGAAAACAGACUUUAGGUUAUCUUAGGUCAAAUUUCACUGCUACAUUUUCCACAUUAGAGUAACAUACCUUCACUUUAAAUGGAGGAUAGAUGUCAUAAAACACUGUGGUAACAUUUCAAUGCCAAGCCUUUUGGAAAGUAAUGUGCCUGACUAGCUGUGUGACGGUGUUUUUAAAAAAGUGUGACUUUAACUUCAGUUUACUUUUUGAACUUAUUUUUAGAAGGGAAUUUGCAUUUGAGAGUGACUGUACUUUGAAUUUUGUGUUGGCUAUAAAACUUAGCUUUAGACUGUUACUAUCAUUCAGAAUGCAGCAGGUGUAUUUGGAAUGAAAUUUGGUUUGCAUAGGCCUCAGUUAACAGAUUCAAGUACAGUGCAGAUAUAUAAAAUAUAUAUAAAUAUGCAGCAGAAGUCCAGUGUAAGUUCAGAAGCUGUGAGUAUGAGCAGUAAAUUUUGCGUAUUUAAAAGUCUGAUGAUUCGGGGGACAAAGCUGUUCAAGAACCUGGUAGUCCUGCACCGAUUGCUGCAGAAGAAGGCCAGCAGGAUAAAUGGUCCAUGAAGGGGGUGAGAGGAGUCACUGCAGAUCUUCCUGGCCCGAGACACCCAGCAGUUCUGUGCAACAUCCUGGAUGGAGGGGAGAGAAGUCCUGAUGAUCCUCUCUGCUGCCCUCACCACUCUCCUCACAUCCCUCCAGUCAGAGGCACUACAGCCUUCACACCACAGAGAUACAACUGGCCAGGAAGCCCUUGAUGGUGCUUUUGUCAACUUUAGUGAACCCCCAGGAACUUUGUGCCGCUGACCACCUCCAUGGCUGCUCUGUUGAUGAGGAGUGGAGCAUGGCUGGGCCGGUACCUCCUCAAGUCAACAAUGAUUUCUUUGGUCUUGUCUACGUUCAGGAUCAGGUUGUUGUCUCUGCACUAGCCCACCAGCUGCUCCACCUCCUCUCUGUAGGCCAGGUCGUUGUUGUCCCCGAUGAGGCCCACCGCUGUUGUGUCACCCGCAAAUUUCACAAUGUGGUUGAUGGCGCACCUGGGGGUGCAGUCCUGUGUCAUCAGGGUGAAUAAAAAGAGGGCCACUAACUUUGGUGAACUAUGACAAGGCUAAAAGGGACUAAAAACACUUUUGUACUCUAAUAGAAAAUUGUUUUGGUCGCUGCAUAUUUAAAUAUUUGAUGGUUUCAUCUGAAAACCAGGGUAAUAAAAGUAGUGAGACUGGCCAUAACUCUGAGAUUAAAGGUCUAAAACCAAACCAAUGAUGCUAAAAGAUGCUAAAAUACCCAGUAGAGCAGAUAAAAAAACAACAAAAAUUGGUUAUGAUUCAUGUUCUGGUAACUGCAGUUGACUCUGAUUCUUUACACAGAGAUGUUGGACCUUUUUCUAAUGUAUCAAAGAACUUAGAAGUGCAGCUUAAACUCUGAAAAUCAAAACCUUAAAACCCCUUAACCUCAGAGUAAUGAGAUCAGCAAAGCACAAACACAAUAAAGGACACCAGAGGACAUCAUAUUUGGAUGAAAAUGAAGCAGGAGACAUUGACAUGAUGCUUUGACAUGAAGCGGUACGGGCUGUUCCUCCUCCUGAUUUCAGACAGAAAGGACACGUGGAAGCACUGAAGUCCAGUUUGAGGAGACCUACAUUCGGAGCAGCACUUUUGUUAUGACUCACAGGUCUUUUAUGCAGCAAUCAUGUGAAAUUUAUCACGCUGCAGACUCACUAAUCUUCAAGCUGGUGUUUUUGUUCCUGCACUACCUCAUCUCUGAAUUCAAAAGUGGAUUUCCAAUCCUUCAAAUAACUUCAUGACUUAUUCUUCGAUGACCCACUUCUUUACCCGGGCUGUCUCUUUAAAGAUAAACACAAGAAGAGUGGCGCACUUAAAGGUUAUAUCAGAGCGGUGAAAAAAAAAGAAAACAAAUCUACUUCCCUUUUAUUUCAGCGUGGUAACUAUCUCUUCGUGGAAGAACAGUUUACACAAGCAGGGUUACAAUUACAAGCUGUGAGAAUGGUAGGGCAUUCAGCCUCCCAUUCAGGACUGUCGUGAAAGCUGGUGUGUCUCCUCGAUGAUGAUGAUGAUUAAAGGGUGCAUGUUUACCGCAGGUAUGUAACAACCACUUCAGGCUGAGCUGGGCUCCCCUCAAGCUCCCAGGAAUGUAUGGGAGCUGCUCGCAGAGGAGAGAAAAGUACCAGUGUUUGGGGAAAACGCUGCCCCUCCUCCAGGCUUCGCGCUAAGCCACAGGACUGUAGGUGCACCAUGGAGCUGCAUAUUCCCCACUCAAGCAGCGUGAGAAUUUAGAGCCUGGGAGGACCCUGGGAAUCAGAAAGGAGAGACAUAUGGGUGUUUAUUUGCUUUCGAAGAAGUAGCCUUGCUGAGAAUGAAAUUGAGAGUUUCAGAUGGUCCUGGAACGAAGACUCAAGAUGGUUUGAAAUAUUGAAAAAAGUCAGUGUUUGCUUUUAAGGACACAAAAAACAAUGUGUAUUUUAUGCACACAAAAUCACAUAUUUUUAUGGAGGAGUGUAAUGUUGACACAAGGAAGGAGUUGUCUCUCACUGUGACUAUUUACCAUAGAGAGAAAAAUUAAAAAGGCUUUUUCUUCAGCCUGCUGUCAUCCACGUGGUGUGAUCCUACCCCCUCACAACAAUGCCAGGCUUCAAAAAUCACAACAGAGGAGUUAUCUGUGUUGAUCCUGAUGGUCUGGAUUGAUUUUAAACAUCGUAAAGAGGCAUCAGGAUGGGUUUUAGGGCACAUUCAUACCAGGAUUGUUUGGUUCGUUCUAAAAGGACCAUUGUACCCUUACUCCUUUGGUCCAGGUGGUAUCUAUGCGCAAGCGAACCGUGGUCCGGAUCAAACAAACGGACCAUGGUUUUCUUGAGAAUGUAGGAUUCGGUUCCCUUCCAAACCAACCAUGGUGGGUGACAACACAGCACGGAUGCAGCUGGACUUUUUAUAUGUUAAUAUCAACCAAUAACACAUUUACACUGUUAUGCCCAAGUCCCAUGUGAACACUAACCAAACCAAAUGCAAAAAUGUAAACAAUUGGUCCCUGAUCUGGACUUUCUAAGUGGACUUUGGGUGAGAAAGACCCCUUAGUCUGUUUCUCAACCAAAUGAAAACUCCUUAUAGUGCCUUUAACAAACGUCUGAUUCAAGCUAGUGUAAUUGUCUCGUUGUCCUUCUUAACAAAGCUGUCAGUCACAGCCAGAGACAAGAUUUCAGACGGUCCAUCCUCAGUCAUGCUGGUUUGAUAAAAAUGAUCCUGUUUUGAUUGAAACUCUGCACAGCCCGAUCCCCUUCAGGUGCUAAAUGCAGCACGAUACUGUACAUCGUAGUGUCUUGCCUGGCCUAAAAAACUAAAGCUGCUAAACUCAGUAUUCAUGUACUUUUUGAACAGUGCCUGUUCAGGGUGGGACUGUUGUGCCUUGAUAUCGCCGUGCUGGUUGGAUGAACUUGUUCCUCCUCUCUGUUUGAAGCUCGUACACUUUGUUUGCAAAACUCGCCUUUUUCUUUCUGCAAACUGAAAUGCAGUUGAACCAAUACGAUGACAUUAUGGGUUCAAUGCAAGAGUACAAAGGUGAAGAAGAGAUGGUGGAGAUCGUCCUUUAGUUGCUGAUGUGUAAUCCUAAUUUAUCAACUGUAUUAAAAAUGUCUAUAGCUUGCCCCCAAACUGCAAUUACCUGACAUCAAACAUAAUUAGGACACACUAUAUUACACAAUAACAACACUCAAUGAACCAAUUGCAUGACCCAGUAAACUAAAGUUGACACAAUGAGAACAUACUAAAUUUAAUUCUGUCUACUGUGCCGACAGAACGAGGUCUUGAAUUCUCUGUUUAUAAAUCUGUCUUGAUACGCUUUGUGGUGAGCAUUUGAGGAUGGUUAUAAAUAUUAACACGAAGGUGGUUAUGGCAAGACACAUAACUCUGGUCGAAAUAACAAUUCUCAUGAAAGUGGGCUGAAGUGAAGGGUGUGGAGGGAUGACAGAAGGGAAAAUGUCUGGAGAUGGGUAUCACUGCUGUUUGGUUAAAAGAGGAGAGGACUCUAAACUUUGUGUGUGUGUGUGUGUGUGUGUGUGUGUGUGUGUGUGUGUGUGUGUGUGUGUGUGUGUGUGUGUGUGUGUGUGUGUGUGUGACCCAGUUAACUCAGGCCCGUGUUUCCAGAUGGUUGUGUUAGUGCUUCACUGCUGGUCCAUGCUUCAGGGAGCUCUCUCUCUCUCUCUGUCAGUACCCCUCACUGACACCACUGAUAUCAAACUCUGCAAUGCACUGCACAUCCCAACAUAGCAGCACUGAAUAGAGCCUGUUUAGGGUUUUUUCUCAUAUUUCUUGUUUUAACUUUUGAAAGAAAACAUUGGUUUUUGACGCCUUGACUUUAUUUGACGCCUAUCUCUAUAACGCAUGAUAAAUAUAUAAAAUAUAUUAUACCUUAUUAUCAAGGUAUAGCACUGUAUAACUAUAGUUAUAAACACUCAUAAAUGAUCGUAGUGCUUUACAGCAAUAAUCAUAACACAUUAUGAAGCAUUUUAUCAUGACUUACAAGGUCAGGUCAGGCCAUUAUGAUCAUUAAUGUGUGUGUGUAAUGAUAAUUAUACAGUGCUAUAACGUCAUUAUAAUGCAUUAUAAAUAUAUUCAUAAUGCGUUAUAGAGACAGGCGUCAAAUAAAGUGUUACCAAAACAUCAAAUUAAUGUUUACUAUAUAAUAAAGAUAAAGUUUUAUAUUUAGGAACUUCAGUCACAUGAACACCUCAUGAGUAAAAACAUGGAUUUAUUCUCAGCUAGAUCAAUGAUUUACCUUUACGAAUAUGACUUGUAUAUCUUAAAUCACAGUUUUUAUUCUUUCAACACUGAAAAAAAUGCUUUGAAUAGUGUUUUACUGACUGGAUGUACAUGCCCUUGAAUAUUUACCGACAAUCAACGCAGGUGCCCAGCAAGGUGAUGGAUCAGCAGAACAAACACAGUGGUGGAAACAAGAGAGAAUUACCUCAGGAAGUGAAACUGGGUUUGGUCUUUUGGUAGAAAUUUUUUUUUUUUUUUUUUUAAAGUAAAUGGAAUUUUAGAUGGGAGAAGCACCAAAAUAUUGUCCUACAGACUACAGGACAACAGUUUCCCAGCUUUAGCAGGUCAGGUCACAUUUUACUAAAGAAACAUUGAUACCUGUCCAAACAUCAGAGCAAAAAUAGCUCUGUCCUCUUCAGCUUCUUUCAAAAUUUUACAAAACCCGCAGAUUCAUGUGCAAUCGCGCAAUAACGAGUUGUCUCUUAGCUACAGAGGCUAACCAUAAAAGCAGUAGAUUGUUUCCUUCCAGAGGAGGAAAUCCACCUCUAGACUUUAAAAUCAGCAUCUCCUCAUCCAUGGUGUCAACGGGGUGAAAUGCUGUCUAAAAACCUUUUACAUGUUUGCGUCUCCGCCUGUUUGCAUUGUGUGAAAUACAAUCCUCCUGAAACACAGUGUUUUAUUUUGAAAAGAAGCUGAAUGUUUUAUUUUGUGUCUUUUCACCGUUCUGCGAUAGCAUUGGAACAGAAAGAAGCCGGUUGAAAUUGACACAUUGACUUGAAUGGUUAUUUUCAGCUGCGAUCGGCAGGUACGGCCUUUUCGUAGCCGUUCCGGAUGCGGUUGGAGACUCUCUGCUUGUCAUCAUAGCAGGCGGGAGUCUUGAUAUGGGCUCCUGCAGUGUAGCUCAGCAGAAGCCAGUUGCUUAAAAGCAGCUGAGGACACAGACGACUCUACACCCACCUACGCAUUCAACACCACUGACUGUCUCACCAGUCACAGCUGGGUAUCUUCACUCAAUAAACACCACAGACACCUGCACACAGAAGAGGCAGCCAUCUGAUACACAGGAAGGAUAUAUUGAUUUAUUUACAAGAGUAUGAAUAACCCUUUUUCCUGUCAGCUUGUAAACAGUAUAUCAUAAAUAAGUCCAUAAGUGUGAAAAGGCGCAUAAUCAUAUUACUCAAGUCCAUGUGAUCACACCCAUCGACGUCGUGAUCUCUUAUGCUGCCAACAUGUAGCCACAAAGACUCCCCCAGCUAUGAUCAAGGUCAUCAUGUUCACCGGAGCAUCUAAGCAAUCUGUCACGGAAAGCUCCAGAACACCAUGACCCUGAUGUAGAACCAGUGUGUGAUAAAGCCUCCAUCCAUUUCCUGUUUACCUGACUCCACACCUCUCUGGCUUCGGGUCAACCCCCCCUCCUUCUGUCCUAAUGUUUUUUUUUUUUCUUUCUGUUCCUCUCAUCCUUCAAGCUUCUUUACAUAAUGCCUCCCUUCAUUUCCACUCUUCCUCGUCACCUUCCAUUUCCUCGCUCCUUCAUUUCCAUCGCAUCUUUUUCACCAUCAUUUCAUUUCCCUAUCUCAAGUUUCUUCCCGUCUUUUUCUGUUUACAUGUAACUUCAUUCUCCUCUAUUUCUCCUUGUCAUCCUCUUCUUCUGCUUUUCUUCAGCUCCACCUCUCCUUUGUUUACCUGAAGCUCUGUAGCCACGGUGACAGCCACGGUUGUCACAGUGAUCAUGUUACAACUAGGACAGCCAGUUCCGAGAAGGGGAAACAAGGGAUUCCCAAUAAUAUGCCACUAUUGUUCCCCAAAGGCUCUGUCCUUCUCUCUCUCAGUGCUACUCCAUUCUCAGAACACACACACAAACACACACACAAACACACACUUACAAGGGUGUAAGUGGGGGAAAAGGACACCACAUACACAGUUAUUCAUCAAGGAACAAAUAAUGUUCACACAGCAGCAACCACACUAACAGACCGCUCUGUACUGUAGGUCAAAGAGAGAGUAUUCAUUCACUUAGGCUCUUAUUACGCACCUGCAGGUAAAGGUAAAAUGGGUGCAUGGAUUGAGAUGUAGGCACAAAGAGGUCAGCUUGGGUCAGAUGGCUUGGCCACCAAGUAGGAUGUCAAAGAACUCAACCGAAGAAGCAUCCAAAUGACAAAAAUGAUUUUUUUUCAUGAGAGUAUGAAAAAAAUGAUGAAAAACCCUUUUCAUUUUGCGGGUGCAGUACACAAAAGUGAAGCAACAAAGCUCCGCUGUCAUCAGGCCUAUGUACCUUCAUAUUGAUCCUAUCGCAGAGUGAUAUUGGAGUCUCAGAGUGUGAUUUUCUGGAGAGGUAAACACACAGCUGGAGCUUCACACACACACACACACACACACACACACUCAGACACACACAUGCAUAAAUCCUGUCUGCAGUGGCUCUCAGUGUUCCUGUCUGGCCUCUGUCACUACCUCUAAUAAUAGCACAGAGGUAAGAACUAAGCCUCACCAGUAACCUGUGUGACAUAUUCAUAUUAAAGGUAAGACAUGACAGGGGCACACAUGUCUACAACCCACCUGGUUUCCCUUAGAAGUACUGUAAACCCUCUGGAUAAGAUUCCCACAUUAAAACUGACCAAUCGAGAAACUUCAGUUGUAGCGCCUGAUCAAAAGACUGUACUGCGAGCCCUUUAAAGUAACUCUGACGUCAUACAGUUGGGUCCUACUCAAGGUUUCUACCUGUUAAAGGGAAGUAUUUUCUUGCCACUGUCGCUCAUAUUGGUUGAGAUGGGUCAAAUCUGCCCCAUCUUAAGUUUGAGUCUUUGUAACACAUCAAAAAAUAAGUGUGGUCUGGCUCUUUUAGAAAGUGUCUUGGGAUAACAAUCGUUGUGAUUUGGCGCUAUAUAAAUAAAAAUUGACUAACUGAUGUUUGAUGAUACAGUCCAUACUGACUUCCAACUCUCCAGGCAGGAAAGUGAACCAAACGUUUAAAAUAUGAAAAUGCUUAAUUUGGUCCCUUUAUGUUUAAUUGUAUGUGCUGUUGAAAAGUGACACAGUAUGAAGAUGAAGAAGUGGAAAUGGGGGGACAAUUGCAGACAAGAUACCCUUAAGUAUGUGGUGACUGUGCUGUGUUUCUAUCUCUCUUUAUAAUCACUGAAAGCUCUAUAACAUCAUACCAGAGUCACUCAUCACUUUCACACACUGAUGGCAGAGGCUUUUAUGUAUAGAGUCUGUCAUUUUUUGACCAAACCUAUUUACACCCCAGUGGGUGCAGCCAGCAGAGGGCCGAUGGGAUCAAGUGUCCAGCCCUGGGAUCAUACCCUGACCUUUGAACCGGGAGAAAAACAGCUGAAUUACUGAGCCAUAGCCGCAUCUCAAGCUUACAGCACCUGCUAUUCCCAGGAGAUACUAACCAGGCCUGACCUGUACUUAGGGACUGAGAUUGGAUGAGAUCGGGCUUGUUCAGGAUGGUAAUGCAAUAAGCAAACAAGUGACUCAAGCCCAAGAGACUGCCGAUAAUUAAUGAUAAAUCUUUGUCACAUUAAAUUAUUAUUUUUUUACAAAUAUGCAGUGGUCUUAUCACAGUUGUACAUUUUUAUAUCGUAUACAAUUGCACCUGCAAUAAGAUACAUGUAUGCUUGUAAUCUUCCAAACUGAAAUGCUCUUUUACUUCAGUUUAAUAUAGCUCAACCGUGUCCC
rnacentral:lncRNA from 1 species